GACGAACGCUGGCGGCGUGCUUAACACAUGCAAGUCGAACGGAAAGGCCCUGCUUGCAGGGUACUCGAGUGGCGAACGGGUGAGUAACACGUGGGUGAUCUGCCCUGCACUUCGGGAUAAGCUUGGGAAACUGGGUCUAAUACCGGAUAGGAGCCAUCUUUAGUGUGGUGGUUGGAAAGUUUUUUCGGUGUAGGAUGAGCUCGCGGCCUAUCAGCUUGUUGGUGGGGUAAUGGCCUACCAAGGCGGCGACGGGAAGCCGGCCUGAGAGGGUGUACGGCCACAUUGGGACUGUGAUACGGCCCAGACUCCUACGGGAGGCAGCAGUGGGGAAUAUUGCACAAUGGGCGCAAGCCUGAUGCAGCGACGCCGCGUGGGGGAUGAAGGCCUUCGGGUUGUAAACUCCUUUCGCUAGGGACGAAGCUUUUUUGUGACGGUACCUAGAUAAGAAGCACCGGCUAACUACGUG
rnacentral:rRNA from 1 species